GAUGAACGCUGGCGGCGUGCCUAAUACAUGCAAGUCGAGCGAACAGACGAGGAGCUUGCUCCUCUGACGUUAGCGGCGGACGGGUGAGUAACACGCGGAUAACCUACCUAUAAGACUGGGAUAACUUCGGGAAACCGGAGCUAAUACCGGAUAAUAUAUUGAACCGCAUGGUUCAAUAGUGAAAUACGGUUUUGCUGUCACUUAUAGAUGGAUCCGCGCCGCAUUAGCUAGUUGGUAAGGUAACGGCUUACCAAGGCAACGAUGCGUAGCCGACCUGAGAGGGAGAUCGGCCACACUGGAACUGAGACACGGUCCAGACUCCUACGGGAGGCAGCAGUAGGGAAUCUUCCGCAAUGGGCGAAAGCUUGACGGAGCAACGCCGCGUGAGUGAUGAAGGUCUUCGGAUCGUAAAACUCUGUUAUUAGGGAAGAACAAAUGUGUAAGUAACUAUGCACGUCUUGACGGUACCUAAUCAGAAAGCCACGGCUAACUACGUG
rnacentral:rRNA from 1 species